rnacentral:rRNA from 1 species
GAUGAACGCUGGCGGCGUGCCUAAUACAUGCAAGUCGAGCGAACAGACGAGGAGCUUGCUCCUCUGACGUUAGCGGCGGACGGGUGAGUAACACGUGGAUAACCUACCUAUAAGACUGGGAUAACUUCGGGAAACCGGAGCUAAUACCGGAUAAUAUAUUGAACCGCAUGGUUCAAUAGUGAAAGACGGUUUUGCUGUCACUUAUAGAUGGAUCCGCGCCGCAUUAGCUAGUUGGUAAGGUAACGGCUUACCAAGGCGACGAUGCGUAGCCGACCUGAGAGGGUGAUCGGCCACACUGGAACUGAGACACGGUCCAGACUCCUAAGGGAGGCAGCAGUAGGGAAUCUUCCGCAAUGGGCGAAAGCUUGACGGAGCAACGCCGCGUGAGUGAUGAAGGUCUUCGGAUCGUAAAACUCUGUUAUUAGGGAAGAACAAAUGUGUAAGUAACUAUGCACGUCUUGACGGUACCUAAUCAGAAAGCCACGGCUAACUACGUG